rnacentral:rRNA from 1 species
AGGCCGGGUGUGUAAGCGCAGCGAUGCGGUGAGCUAACCGGUACUAAUGAACCGUGAGGCUUAACCUGACAACGCCGAAG